rnacentral:rRNA from 1 species
CCUACGGGUGGCAGCAGUGAGGAAUAUUGGUCAAUGGUCGGGAGACUGAACCAGCCAAGCCGCGUGAGGGAUGAAGGUACAGAGUAUCGUAAACCUCUUUUGUCAGGGAACAAAGGCGGGGACGUGUCCCCGGAUGAGUGUACCUGAAGAAAAAGCAUAGGCUAACUCCGUGCCAGCAGCCGCGGUAAUACGGAGGAUGCGAGCGUUAUCCGGAUGUUUUGGGUUUAAAGGGUGGGCAGGCGGUCUGUUAUGUCAGGGGUCAAAGCCCGGGGCCAAACCCCGGCCCGCCGUUGAAACUGGCAGCCUCGAGUGGGAGAGAAGUAUGCGGAAUGCGCGGUGUAGCGGUGAAAUGCAUAGAUAUCGCGAAGAACUCCGAUUGCGAAGGCAGCAGGCCGGCUCCACACUGACGCUGAGGCACGAAAGCGUGGGUAUCGAACAGGAUUAGAUACCCCUGUAGUC